rnacentral:lncRNA from 1 species
UUAUUUUGGAAAAAUUUUCAUUACUGUCGGUUAAAAUCGACAGAAACAUUUUUUUAAAUACAAACCAACAGAAAAUUUUAAUUACUAUCAGUUAUAACCGACAAAAAAAAUGACUGCAAAAAUUCUCCCAAAAUUUUGUUACAAUUAAAAAAAAUAAAAAAAUAAUGGUUUGGUUUAAUAAAUAAAUAAAUAAUAUGUAUUUAAAUAUAAUACAUUUUUAAAAAUUAAUAUAAAUAAUUGUUUGGUUUAAUACAUAAUAACCCAUGUAAUAUAUGCGAUAAAGAAACAAAAAGAUAAUUGUACAAUGAAAAUGCCAUCUCACACAAACUAAAUAUUGUCUAAUUAAUACUUGAAAAACAUAAAUAAAAAUUUAGCACAAAUUACUUUUCCUACUUCAAAACUAGUUUCAAUGAUCUAACCGUCAAACUUGUUUGUAGAUACUACAAGAUCACAUACGUAAAGAAUCGCAAAAAAAAAAAAAAAAAAAAAACAUUCAGAGAUUAGGUAACGGAACAAAAGUUUUCGACGGUUAUAAACGAAAAAUCACAAUUUAACGGUUAUUUUAGCUCCAGUUUUGAUGAUUUUUUUACAGCUACACUCCUCGACCUAUAAGAAUGCAAUGAAUGAAUUCGAUCUUCAAUUUAAAAUAUUUACACUAGUGGAUACCAAAAAAAUCUUAUUUUAUACUUAAUGGAAGUAUAAUAUUAACUCUAAGUGUUUGUUUAAUCUACCGUUUUGACUCAAUAUGCAUUCUACGAAACUUUUUUCAACGAUCCAACCGUCGAACUUAUUUGUACACACUCCGAUAUUGCAUACGUAAAAAAUCGUAAAAAACCAAGGUUCUAAAAAACACUAAGCGCUAGUCAGGCGGUGGGCUAGUGCCUAGCGCCUAAGCGCCUAGGCGGGUCUAGGCGGAUUUUGGUAAAUUUCUUAUAUAUUUUAUGAAUUAAUUAAAUUUACUAUAUCAAAUGUAAAUAAUUAUUGACUAAUAUGUUAUUUCUUAUUGAAGAACAUACACAUGUGAAUGUUUUAUGUACAUAUAUGAUAUGCUUGCCUAAGAAAAAAAAAUUAUCUAAAUAAUUUAUAAUUUAUAAUUUAUAUAAGAUUUACACACACACACACACACACAAUAUGUGACAACUCGUCCCAAAUCUUACGUUUUUUUACAAAAUUUAAAAGUGUGAUUUUACGAAAAUGCCUUAGAGGUGAGGGUCUUGACAUCCGUUGACCAACGUAUAGUGAGGUGUAUGAAUUAAUACUUUGCGUUUUCUUGAAGAACUCGACGUUACGGAAUUAUAAAACCGAGAAGUACUUUUGUUUAGUCACUAUUUAUAUAUUUUAUACAUUUUUAUAAUGAUAUAUUUUGUUUAUCAUUUAGUGAUUUUAAAAAUAGUUGAGGAAGAAAAAAGGGCAACGGGAGAGAGAACAGAGGGAAGGGCUGCUGCCCAAUUAGAGGAGAGGAGGAGAGAAGACUGCCUAAUUAGAAGCAGAAGCAAGGAGGGAAAGGAGGGAGAGUGGAAAGCGGGGGGAAAAGGGGGAAAUGGGUUCCCAACCCGUGACCCGUGUACACCUAGUCCAAUUCUCCAUAUUUUCUGGUGGUUUCCGCCGGAUUUCUCACGAAUUUGGACCAAGAAACAAUUCCCAAUCAUCCCCUAGUCCUUUCCUCUUCCAUUCCCAAUCAAAUUUUAUAGGAUUUGAGCUUGAAUUC